UCCCCUAACUAUAUAAAACCCUUAAUUCAGUACUAAAUAAUUUUAUAACUAUAUAAAAACGCAUAUGUUAGAACUAGUAACAAGAAGAAGUACUUCUCCAAAAUGUAAGCUUAAGCCAGAAUGAACCCCCUCACUGGCAAUUAAAGUCAAUAAACCCAUAGUAGUAACUCAUCAAGAAAACCCUACUACCACAAACGUUAACCUUACACUAGCACAUUCCUGGAAAGAAAUAAAGAGGGGGAAGGAACUCGGCAAAUAAUUUAACCCCGCCUGUUUACCAAAAACAUCGCCUCUUGCUAUCUAUAAGAGGUCCAGCCUGCCCAGUGACUAAGUUAAACGGCCGCGGUACCCUAACCGUGCAAAGGUAGCGCAAUCACUUGUUCUUUAAAUGAGGACUAGUAUGAACGGCAUCACGAGGGUUAUACUGUCUCCCCCCUUUUUUCAGUGAAACUGAUCUUCCCGUGAAGAAGCGGGAAUAUUGUUAUAAGACGAGAAGACCCCAUGGAGCUUUAAACUCAGAAUCAACUGCCACAAACUUAACCUAAUAAUAACGCAGAAAUGACUUCUAGUUUUCGGUUGGGGUGACCGCGGAGUAAAAUAAAACCUCCACGACGAAAGGAACUAACCUCCUAACCUAAGAGCCACAGCUCUAAGUAUUAAAACAUUAACCUAAUUGAUCCAAUUACUUGAUCAACGAACCAAGUUACCCUGGGGAUAACAGCGCAAUCCAUUUCAAGAGCUCAUAUCGACAAAUGGGUUUACGACCUCGAUGUUGGAUCAGGAUAUCCAAGUGGCGCAGCCGCUACUAACGGUUC
rnacentral:rRNA from 1 species